AAACAAACGUUGAAGAGGUAAAGUAAUUCUAUGUCUGGACUUCUACAGAGAGCCGUGAUUGCUGGAAAGCGGUGUUGUCACAUAGAAUGAAAGUCCCCUCUGAGUGUUGGUCUGAACGUAAACAUUUAUGUGUCUACUAGGAUUGACCGGGUGUUCAAAGCACUCGUUACUAAAAUGAGGUGAGCUAUUUGCUCAUCCCUGAGGUCAAGGAAACUUGAUGAAAAAGGGUGGUACCGUGGAAAGUAAAUCUUUUCACCCCUUCG
rnacentral:ncRNA from 1 species